GUUUCCGUAGGUGAACCUGCGGAAGGAUCAUUAACAAAUUCCAAAACUCGUCUUCCGGAUGACUCUAGGCUGGUUUCCAGUCUGGACACUCCGGAUUACAAAAUUACAUUUACGUUACUGGACAACCACAGGUAACCAAACCAAGGAUAAACCAAUGGUAAAAACAACUUUUAACAAUGGAUCUCUUGGCUCUU
rnacentral:misc_RNA from 1 species